rnacentral:rRNA from 1 species
CACGUAGGGGGCAAGCGUUGUCCGGAUUUAUUGGGCGUAAAGAGCUCGUAGGCGGUUCGGUAAGUUGGGAGUGAAACCUCCAGGCUCAACCUGGAGACGCCACCCGAUACUGCUGUGACUAGAGUCCGGUAGGGGAGCGUGGAAUUCCUGGUGUAGCGGUGAAAUGCGCAGAUAUCAGGAGGAACACCAGCGGCGAAGGCGGCGCUCUGGGCCGGAACUGACGCUGAGGAGCGAAAGCGUGGGUAGCAAACAGG